CAGCCAUCUGGGAAAACAAGUUAACUGGAAAAGAAGAUCAGCGAUGGAUCUUAAAAAUAAAUGUAGGUGUGACAGAAGAAGAGUUUUCUCUCAUCUCGCGCAUCCAAGCAUGUGCCAAGUGUUGCCACGGUAACCCAGAGUGAACGAUGAUGCAUGACAAACAGCGGAGAAUCAGACGGAGGGUUUGUUGAACUGAAGGUUGUGAGGAAGGACGUUUGUGUCUGUGCUUGAAGCGACAGCUUCAGUGUGAACGAAUGCAGAGCGACAGAGUUGUGCAAUUUCACUGAGACCCAGAGACGGACUCGGCUCAUGUAUGAAGCUACAGAAGUGUGCAGUGUUUGUGUGUGAACAGGCAUCUGUUUGAGCUCUAAACAUCACAGAAACAGGAUGAGGGCACAAACAAACUGAAAUCCUUCAUGAAGGUGUGUGUUUGUGUACACUCAUAGAACUCUGACCGUUAACUGGACAUUCACUUCCUUCAUCAAACACUUCUUCACUCUGUUCAGAUCCACCCGCAUGUUUUAGAAC
ensembl:lncRNA